ACCAGACUCCUACGGGAGGCAGCAGUGGGGAAUAUUGCACAAUGGGGGAAACCCUGAUGCAGCAACGCCGCGUGAGUGAAGAAGUAUUUCGGUAUGUAAAGCUCUAUCAGCAGGGAAGAAGAAGGACGGUACCUGACUAAGAAGCCCCGGCUAACUACGUGCCAGCAGCCGCGGUAAUACGUAGGGGGCGAGCGUUAUCCGGAUUUACUGGGUGUAAAGGGAGCGUAGACGGUUAAUCAAGUCUGAAGUGAAAGCCCGCGGCUCAACUGCGGAACGGCUUUGGAAACUGAGUAACUGGAGUGCUGGAGGGGCAGGCGGAAUUCCUGGUGUAGCGGUGAAAUGCGUAGAUAUCAGGAGGAACACCGGUGGCGAAGGCGGCCUGCUGGACAGUAACUGACGGUGAGGCUCGAAAGCGUGGGGAGCAAACAGGAUUAGAUACCCGCGUAUUG
rnacentral:rRNA from 1 species